rnacentral:rRNA from 1 species
GAUGAACGCUGGCGGUGUGCCUAACACAUGCAAGUCGAGCGAACGGACGAGAAGCUUGUGCUCUUGCUGUUAGCGGCGGGCGGGCGGGUGAGACGUGGAUAAGAUACUUAUAUGUCGGGGGUGAUUACGGGAAACAGGUGCCGAUAAUGGAGAAUAUUAUGAACGGCUUGGUUCAAAAGUAAUAGACGGCUUUGCCGACAGUAUUAGAUGGAUCCGCGUUGGAUUAGCUAGUUGGUAAGGUAACGGCUUACCAAGGCGACGAUGCGUAGCUGACCUGAGAGGAUGAUCAGCCACACUGGAACUGAGACACGGUCCAGACUCCUACGGGAGGCAGCAGUGGGGAAUAUUGGACAAUGGGCGCAAGCCUGAUCCAGCCAUACCGCGUGGGUGAAGAAGGCCUUCGGGUUGUAAAGCCCUGUUGUUGGGAAAGAAAAGAAGCAGGUUAAUACCCCGCUGUUCUGACGGUACCUAAAGAAUAAGCACCGGCUAACUUCGUG